AUCUUUGCGCAGAGGCAUUAUCGUAACCAAUGAAGUUCUACUGAGGUGCGAUUAUUGCUAGUUGAAAACUUUAACCAAUACCCCGCCAUGAGGACGUGAAAUACCGUCCGCUACGGCAAUUUUUGGAAGCCCGUGAGGGCCA
rnacentral:snRNA from 2 species